rnacentral:lncRNA from 1 species
AGGUGUUGAGAUGAACAUGACCAACUGGUGUUAUAAAUGAAUAUCUUUGGCCUGUAGUGCAAAGAUGAACAUUGAUUGUUGUUACAUGGAUGAAAUAUUGAUGAUGGACUUUUAAAUCUUAGAAGACAGUAGAAUUCUUUCUCUACGUGAAUCUUUUAAUGGAUUGCUGUUUCCGCUGCAUUUGUUGAUCUAAAACUUGUUGUCUAUUGUAUUCUAUUAGAUUUUUUCCUGUUGAAGACUAACGAUAAUUUGUUGUAUAUUAUCUUAGUCAUAAUAUUCUUUACUGGGCUAGUUGAGCUCACCCUUUUCCUUGUUGUUCCAUUUUUCUUCUCAGGAGGUGAGAACAUAGCAGGAUCGAG